rnacentral:ncRNA from 1 species
UACCUGGUUGAUCCUGCCAGUAGUCAUAUGCUUGUCUCAAAGAUUAAGCCAUGCAAGUCUAAGUACGAGCUCUCGUACAGUGAAACUGCGAAUGGCUCAUUAAAUCAGUUAUGGUUCAUUUGAUCGUACAGUUUACUUGGAUAACUGUGGUAAUUCUAGAGCUAAUACAUGCGAGAAGCGCCGACCUCGCGGGAGGCGUGCAUUUAUCAGACCAAAAACCGGCCGCGUCUUCGGGCGCGUUCGCCUUGGUGACUCUGGAUAACUUUGCGGAUCGCACGGUCUAGCACCGGCGACGGAUCAUUCAAGUGUCCUGCCUAUCAACUUUCGUCGGUACGGUAUUUGCCUA